GACGAACGCUGGCGGCGUGCUUAACACAUGCAAGUCGAACGGAAAGGCCCUGCUUUUGUGGGGUGCUCGAGUGGCGAACGGGUGAGUAACACGUGAGUAACCUGCCCUUGACUUUGGGAUAACUUCAGGAAACUGGGGCUAAUACCGGAUAGGAGCUCCUGCUGCAUGGUGGGGGUUGGAAAGUUUCGGCGGUUGGGGAUGGACUCGCGGCUUAUCAGCUUGUUGGUGGGGUAGUGGCUUACCAAGGCUUUGACGGGUAGCCGGCCUGAGAGGGUGACCGGCCACAUGGGGACGGGGUUACGGCCCAGACUCCUACGGGAGGCAGCGGUGGGAAUAUUGCACAAUGGGCGGAAGCCUGAUGCAGCAACGCCGCGUGCGGGAUGACGGCCUUCGGGUUGUAAACCGCUUUCGCCUGUGACGAAGCGUGAGUGACGGUAAUGGGUAAAGAAGCACCGGCUAACUACGUG
rnacentral:rRNA from 1 species